rnacentral:tRNA from 1 species
GGGAUGGUAACUCAGUGGUAGAGUGCUUGCCUUGCAUGCAUGAGGCCCUGGGUUCGAUUCCUCAGCACCA